GGGUCUGUAGCUCAGCUGGGAGAGCGCCUUCUUUGCACGAAGGAAGUCGCGGGUUCGAACCCCGCCAGAUCCU
rfam:Candidatus Falkowbacteria bacterium RIFCSPLOWO2_12_FTLL_45_10 rifcsplowo2_12_scaffold_4912, whole genome shotgun sequence.